rnacentral:rRNA from 1 species
UGGGGAAUAUUGCACAAUGGAGGGAACUCUGAUGCAGCGACGCCGCGUGAACGAAGAAGGCUUUCGAGUCGUAAAGUUCUUUUAUAUGGGAAGAUAAUGACGGUACCAUAAGAAAAAGCCCCGGCUAACUACGUGCCAGCAGCCGCGGUAAUACGUAGGGGGCUAGCGUUGUCCGGAAUCACUGGGCGUAAAGGGUUCGCAGGCGGAAAUGCAAGUCAGGUGUAAAAGGCAGUAGCUUAACUACUGUAAGCAUUUGAAACGGCAUAUCUUGAGAAGAGUAGAGGUAAGUGGAAUUUUUAGUGUAGCGGUGAAAUGCGUAGAUAUUAAAAAGAAUACCGGGGGCGAAGGCGACUUACUGGGCUCAUUCUGACGCUGAGGAACGAAAGCGUGGGUAGCAAACAGG